rnacentral:pre_miRNA from 1 species
UUUGUACUCCCUCCAUCCCAAAAUUCUUGUCUUAAAUUUGUCUAAAUACGGAUGUAUCUAGUUACAUUUUAGUGUUAGAUACAUCCGUAUCUAAACAAAUGUAAGACAAGAAUUUUGGGACGGAGGGAAUACUAN